ACAGACUCUUCCAUUCAGAUAAGAAUGGUUGACCAUUAAUCACCUGGCUUGAAUAUCAAACAGGGCUGCAGAACUGAAAGAAUUUCUUUCCUGCAUCUAAUAUCAUCUCAGGGGCAUGUUUCCUACCACUUCCCCAGGGACCAAACACCUGCCUUGGCGAUUUUCAAGAGACUUCUCUGCCUUAUUCCUCUCCAGUUCAUAAAUAACAGCACCUAUUCAUCAAGGCUGUGAGCUGCUUCAGGGAAAUGACCAAAUCUUAUACUUCCCCGUAUCCCCAACUCCUGGCACCGAAAUUGGCAUAGAUGAAAUGCUUGGAUAUCUCCUUCUUUGGCACAGGGAACGAUGUUCCACUCCCCGUUGCAGCCCAACUGAAGCCAUGUGACUACUUCUGGCCACUGAACCGUGAGGGAAUGCAACAUGUGUCACUUCUGAAACAUUACCAGUCUCUAUCUUUUUGUACCGAGGCAAACCUGGAUGACAUCUGAUGGGGCUGUUGUGGCUAUUAGGAAAAAACAGCAGAAUCUCUUACCACAAAUUGAAAAAUUGUAUUUAUAUAUAUUUUUUUCGAUUCUCCAGGUCUUAAGGGAGACCUACUUUUUGUAUCUUAAGGAGAUCCUCCUACUUUUUUUGUAUCUUGAGCUAGGUGAGGUGUACUGUGUCAUGGAAAGAUCUUAAUAAAAGUUUAUUAAUGAUACUAUUCAUUAUAUCCCUUCCUAACUCCAAAACAUGGAACUGCAAAUGCGUAGUGCACAUUAUUGCAAUUUAGAAGAGUACGAUGCCUGCUAUAUUUGAAAAUAGAUAAGAGAUUAAAGGAAAAUAAGUAAUCACCGAAUAUUUUUGGAAUUCAAGUGCAUUUGGAUUAUAGCAACCUCUGUAUGUAGCGUGUAUUCAAUAGGUAAGUUUCAAAUAUCUAUUUGUACCUGGAGCCAAGAAAACAGGUAACUAAAGACUGAGAACAAGAUCUCACCAGACCCACAGACUAACUGGAAAGGAACUCCUGGAAACAAGUAACCAGCAGAUAAGCGGCAAUAGUGCAAUGCAUAAGGCGUUAUGGCUGGAUGAAGAAGCAAGGGGCGAUUUAUUCCUGGUGAUCCAGGAAACCUUCAAGAGGAGAGGUGCCACUUGAAGGAGGUUGGGGUCAAAUAGGCUAUAAAUUUAGUUUUGAAGUUCAAGCGUGUCCCUAAUAAAGGUGUUUAAAAUAAACUCAC